GCCAAUCAGGUGAUGUGAGGAAAUGGGUCAUUGGCUCCCCCUGUAACCAGCCUCCAUGUCACAUCCUGAGACCAUAGGGGCUUCUCCUCAUGCCUGGCAGACUCACCCUCCUGUACCGAAUGGAAAGAAGCUGCUUGGAAACACAGGGCUGGAGCACCAGACCCCACAGAACAGGGCCUGGCAGCACCUCCUGGCUGACCAACUCCUUUUUUUUUUUUUUUUGUAUCUCAGAUGGAACACGAACCUGACCGAUGCCUUUAAAGAUCAGGGACAUUUUCUGGAUGGAACUAAUGCCUUGGAAACAGCACAGACUCAAGCUGUUUGGAAACAGGGUCCCACCGCAGCAAGGUGGGACAGAGAGGACCAAGCUGGUGAAAGCAAGCACAUCCCACUUACUUUGUUGUCAUCUCCGUAUUUGAUCAUUUCGUGAGCAAAGUCAUCGGUGGGUUUGACACGGACAAAGGUAUGAACUUUUUUCCUAGUACCCAUUCUAGCUAAAAAGAAGAAAACAGUGCAGCUUUCAGUAGUUAUCAUCAAGUGGCAAUGCAUUAAGAAGAUCAGAAUGGAGUGACUGACACUCGGUCUGUGUUCUUCUGUCCCAAUGAGACCCAGUCUUCCUUUUCACCCCUUCGCGUGUCAGUGCUCUACCCACAGGACCCGCUGUUCAACAAGUACAGGCGCUUCCUACUUUACAGGCUGCCUCACUAUUUUCCACCAUGGCCCCCUAAGAGACAGAAACACGAAGCAAGAAGAACGCUCCCUUUAGUGGCCUAAUCUUAGAUGUGUUUCCUAAAAAUGGUCUGUACCUAAAAAUGUCCGCUUAUGCUUUGCCUCAUUCAUUAUGCUUUCAUCUAAAAUACUUACUAUGAAAUGCAUUUAAACUUAAUUUUCUUGUCUUCACGAACAUAUGUUAUUUCAGAUGCAGCAGCCCCUCCUUUACCUCCGUUUGACCAGCUUAGAUCAGAAAAUGAUUCCCUAGAAGUGUAUUUAAUCAGUCCACGAUCAGAUACUCUUUCUUUUCUGACAGUCCAUUGAGAAAAAAUCAAACAGCCCUCUACCUCCUCGUCUUCUCGUCAACCUAACUAGAGUUUCAUCAUUUUCUUUCAGGUAGAUCCACUUAAUCUGUAUUCCUUUAUUUAUACUACCACAGAUAAUUACCGUGUAUAACAAAAUGUCAAAAUAAAUGCUUGGUGUGGCUUCAUGGAAUAGGAUGUAAGCAUAUAGGUGUAUGUGUUUAGGGAGGGAGAUUUAGGUAAAUGACCUUCCUACUAUGUAGAGCUGUCCUAUAAUGGAAAAGACUCAAGCAAGGUCAAGAUGCCAGCUAACAGAGAUGUUGCUAGCAGGGACCGUUGCACUGAGGGGAGAGUUAAUUAAUUUCUAAGAUCCUGUCCAACUGAAGUAUUUUAUUAAAAUUUUAAAAAAUUGAUUGCACAAUCAAA